GUAUAUUAAAGUUGUUGCGGUAAAAAAGCUCGUAGUUGGAUUUCUGUUGAGAGCGACCGGUCCAUACCAUGUAUGCGUAUCUGGCUUGCUCUCGGCAUCCUCUCGAUAGACGUUGCUGCGCUUGAUUGCGUGGCGCGGAUCUCGGGACUUUUACUUUGAGGAAAUUAGAGUGUUCACGGCAGGCUUUCGCCAGAAUACAUUAGCAUGGAAUAAUACUAUAGGAUCUUGGUUCUAUUUUGUUGGUUUCUAGAAUUGAGAUAAUGAUUAAUAGGGACAAUUGGGGGCAUUCGUAUCAACACGUCAGAGGUGGAAUUCUUGGAUUGUGUUGCGACGAACUACUGCGAAAGCAUUUGCCAAGGAUGUUUUCAUUGAUCAAGAACGAAAGUAAGGGGAUCGAAGACGAUUAGAUACCGUCGUAGUCUUUACCAUAAACUAUGCCGACUAGAGAUGGGGCAUCGUUCAUUUACGACUUGCUCCGCACCUUAUGAGAUAUCAAAGUUUUUGGGUUCCGGGGGGAGUAUGGUCGCAAGACUGAAACUUAAAGGAAU
rnacentral:rRNA from 1 species